UACGGAAGGGGCAAGCGUUGUUCGGAAUUAUUGGGCGUAAAGGGCGCGUAGGCGGCCCCAUAUGUCGGCGGUGAAAGCAUACAGCUCAACUGUAUUGAGCCGCGGAAACUGUGGGGCUUGAGGCUGGGAGGGGCUGGUGGAAUUCCCUGUGUAGUGGUGAAAUGCGUAGAGAUCCGGAGGAACACCAGAGGCGAAGGCGGCCUACUGGGCCAGUACUGACGCUGAGCCGCGAAAGCCAGGGGAGCGAACGGG
rnacentral:rRNA from 1 species